CCCUUAGAUGUUCUGGGCCGCACGCGCGCUACACUGAUGCAUUCAACAAGCCUAGCCUUGACCGAGAGGUCCGGGUAAUCUUUGAAACUGCAUCGUGAUGGGGCUAGAUUAUUGCAAUUAUUAAUCUUCAACGAGGAAUGGCUAGUAAGCGUGAUUCAUCAAAUCGCGUUGAUUACGUCCCUGCCCUUUGUACACACCGCCCGUCGCUCCUACCGAUUGAAUGUGUUGGUGAGGAGCUCGGAUUGGCAGCAGUUGGUGGUUCGCCACCGGCUAUUGCUGAGAAGUCCUCCAAACCGCCCCAUUUAGAGGAAGGAGAAGUCGUAACA
rnacentral:rRNA from 1 species